AGAGAUUUCGGUGAAGCCAGCCCUGCGUCCACCUUCCCCGGUCAGGGCUCGGCAGGGCGGGAGUCGAGCCCGGCACGUGGAAGAGCCACCGCACCGUCCGGCCACCUUCUCGACCGC
rnacentral:precursor_RNA from 8 species